UUAGCUCUCAUUCAGGAUAGAUUUGUUAGAGCUAGUGGUGAGAGUAGCAAACUCACUCUGGCUGGUAUCCAAUUCAUAAUCAGUUUCAUUAAUAAUACCGUCGGUAUCGUCAUCAUUGUCAUAAUCACUGCUCUCAGCAAGGUGGGCAGUCAUUUCGGCUAAACGAUUUUGUGCGUUCUCUAUGGCUGUGCUACUUUUUUCUAACGAGCUUUCCAGCUGUUCCAUGUACUGUUGGAUGAACUCGGAAUAGAUAUCAGCAUCCUUUUCAGCCUUCUCGAGUGCAUGCAUAAUUUUCUCCUUUUCACUAUUGCUAUUGAACAUUGAAUCUUUUAGUGGUUUAUCAGCAAUCUUAGCAUCAGACACCUGUUUUGUCAAAGUCCUUUCCACUUCUUCAAAUGUGUCUUGUAAUGUCCUUAUUUCAGCAUCCAACUGAGGGUCAUGCUUCAAGCAUUCAUUCCUGAGCUCUUCAUACUCUUCUUCUAAAGCUUCUUUUUGCUUUUCGUACUGUUCGGUCUCAGAAUUCGCCCGCUCCGUUUCAGCUUCCAAUCUUUCAAUCUCUAGCUUUAAUUGCUGCUGCUCUUCCAAUAGGUCGGUUAUUUGUCUUUCGAAUUCUUCUUGGAUUUUUUGUUCUUCUUUAGCUGCCCGCUGUUUCCGAUUUACCAUACUGGAAACAGACGCCUUUUGCAUUUUAAGAGAAUCAUAAACAUUUAGCAAGUUAUUCUUCGCUGACUCCAGCUCCUUCCUUUUCUUUCGCUCUUGCAUAAGUAAAAUAGAAACCUUGUCUCCUUCUUUCUUUAGUCUGUCGAUUUCGUUUUGCAUAGUAGCAAUCAAUUGACCAGAAGACGGUUUUCUAGAUCCUGUUUUUGCAUGGUCAUGAGGUACUCCUCUACCAAUAUACGUUGCCUCAAUAUGAUCUGUCAAUUUUUCUAAAUCAUUUGCCAUAUCUUGGAGCGUCGAAACUUCUUCCUUUCUAUUUUCUGGGAUCGCUAUAUUAGCGUUUGCUUGAACUAUUAUUUACUUAUUUCUCUUACCAAUAUUAUCAUGAACUUGCUCGAUUUCAUGUUCUAAUUUUUCGGAUCCCUCUAAACCCAUUUUUUACAUUAAAUAAAAGAAAGAGAAAUAAAUAUGAAUUAGACUUGCUUCAUUGCAAAGGAUAAGUUGCAUCCUUAUUUUUCAUUCAUUGUCCUAAAGCAUUCAUUUAUUGCACGGUAAGUCUCAGUUGGACUCGAUAAACGGUUUAAGAGGGUGUAUCAAUCAUUUAGAUGAAUGCCAAGAUUUGAAGAAAAUAGUAUAAUUAUGGAAUUAUGGAACAAAUGAUUAUUAUUCUACAUUAUGUGUAUAGACAC